AGAGUUUGAUCCUGGCUCAGAACGAACGCUGGCGGCGCGCCUAAUACAUGCAAGUCGAGCGAGAAGACGUAGCAAUACGUUUGUAAAGCGGCGAACGGGUGAGGAAUACAUGGGUAACCUACCCUCGAGUGGGGAAUAACUAGCCGAAAGGUUAGCUAAUACCGCAUACGGCUCCUGGUCUGCGGAUCGGGAGAGAAAGCGAUACCGUGGGUAUCGCGCUCUUGGAUGGGCUCAUGUCCUAUCAGCUUGUUGGUGAGGUAACGGCUCACCAAGGCUUCGACGGGUAGCUGGUCUGAGAGGACGAUCAGCCACACUGGCACUGCGACACGGGCCAGACUCCUACGGGAGGCAGCAGUAAGGAAUAUUGCGCAAUGGGCGACAGCCUGACGCAGCGACGCCGCGUGGGAGAUGAAGGUCUUCGGAUUGUAAACCCCUUUCGGCAGGGAAGAUGGAAUGGGGUAACCCAUUCGGACGGUACCUCCAGAAGCAGCCACGGCUAACUUCGUGCCAGCAGCCGCGGUAAUACGAAGGUGGCAAGCGUUAUUCGGAUUUACUGGGCGUACAGGGAGCGUAGGCGGUUCGGUAAGCCCUCUGUGAAAUCUUCAGGCUUAACCUGGAACAGUCGGAGGGGACUGCUGGGCUAGAGGACGGGAGAGGAGCGCGGAAUUCCCGGUGUAGCGGUGAAAUGCGUAGAGAUCGGGAGGAAGGCCGGUGGCGAAGGCGGCGCUCUGGAACGUUUCUGACGCUGAGGCUCGAAAGCGUGGGGAGCAAACAGGAUUAGAUACCCUGGUAGUCCACGC
rnacentral:rRNA from 1 species